GGAGGUGGGUGGAGAGGACAUAGGAGACUGGCAGGAGGUGUUUGCUCCCUGGCAGCCUGGUGGGGUGGUGCUGGCACACCAAGGCCUCCAGGCCUGAGAUUAUCUUACAGACGUAGCCUCCAAUGAAAUGAGACCACUGGGGCUAGCAGCAUUAGAAAGCAGCCAUGGGAACCUGCCGUCCUGGCCAGGUGCUUCAUCUGCCGAUUCUGCCCUUGUGGAAAAUGUACAUUGGAUGAGAGGAUGUCAUGGCAGGGCUUGGGAAGAUAAUUGGAGAGAAUGCUUUUAAAGUGCCCGGACCACGAGUGACAGACAGGAAGAGAAACAGAUCUUUCUGACUGCUGGCUCACUCCCCGAAUAGCUGCAAGAGCCAGAGCUGGGACAAGCUGAAGCCUGGAGCCCAGAACUCCAUUCGGGACUGCCAGGUUAUUCCCAAGCAGCCCACUGUUGAGGAGUGUCUUUCCACAGACAUGGGAAUACCUAGCUAUGCCAGGAACUUCAGGCCAGU